rnacentral:rRNA from 1 species
CAGUCGCCACGGUAAUACGAAAGGUCCAAGCGUUACUCGGAAUUACUGGGCGUAAAGCGCGCGUAGGCGGUCUUGUAUGUCGAUUGUGAAAGCCCCGGGCUCAACCUGGGAACUGCAGUCGAAACUGCAAGACUUGAAUGUUGGAGAGGUUGGGGGAAUACCUAGUGGAGAAGUGAAAUUCGUAGAGAUUAGGUGGAACACCAGAGGCGAAGGCGCCUGACUGGCCAAACAUUGACGCUAAGGCGCGAAAGCGUGGGUAGCAAACAGGAUUAGAUACCCGAGUAGUCCCUGUCUCUUAUAC